GGACUACCGGGGUUUCUAAUCCCGUUCGCUCCCCACGCUUUCGCACCUCAGCGUCAGUGUUAGCCCAGAGCACUGCCUUCGCCAUCGGUAUUCCUCCUGAUCUCUACGCAUUUCACCGCUACACCAGGAAUUCCAUGCUCCUCUGCCACACUCAAGUCUCCCAGUCUCCAAGGCACUGUUCACGUUGAGCGCUGAACCUUUCACCCCAGACUUAAGAAACCGCCUACGCGCGCUUUACGCCCAGUAACUUCGGACAACGCUCGCCCCCUACGUAUUACCGCGGCUGCUGGCAC
rnacentral:rRNA from 1 species